UACGUAGGGUGCGAGCGUUGUCCGGAAUUAUUGGGCGUAAAGAGCUCGUAGGCGGUGUGUCGCGUCGGCCGUGAAAACCUGCAGCUUAACUGUGGGCUUGCGGUCGAUACGGGAUCACUGGAGUUCGGCAGGGAGACUGAAUCCUGGUGUAGCGUGAAAUGCGCAGAUAUCAGGAGGAACACCGGUGGCGAAGGCGGGUCUCUGGCCGAUACUGACGCUGGAGGAGCGAAAGCGUGGGAGCGAACAG
rnacentral:rRNA from 1 species